UUUGCUCUUUCUGGAUCAAAUCAAGCGCGAAAAGGGCGUUUGGUGGAUGCCUUGGCAGCAAGAGGCGAUGAAGGACGUGAUACCCUGCGUUAAGCCAUGGGGAGCCGGGAAUAGGCUUUGAUCCAUGGAUGUCCGAAUGGGGAAACCCACCUGACAUUCUGUUAUGUUCAUCUUCGGAUGAUGCAUAACGGGGUGAACCAGGUACUUUACUCCUGAAUACUAGGGGGUUUAGAGCAAACCCGGGGAACUGAAACAUCUAAGUACCCGGAGGAAAGGAAAUCAAUAGAGACUCCGUUAGUAGUGGCGAGCGAACGCGGACCAGCCGAGCCUGGAAGAACGAGCAGAAUGGUCUGGAAAGGCCAACGAUAGGGGUGACAGUCCCGUAUGCGAAGUUUGACAGGACGUAUUAAGUAGGGCGGGACACGUGUAAUCCUGUCUGAAGAUCGGGGGACCACCCCCGAAGGCUAAGUACUCCUUGCUGACCGAUAGCGAACCAGUACCGUGAGGGAAAGGUGAAAAGCACCCCGACGAGGGGAGUGAAACAGUACCUGAAACCGGACGCCUACAAGCAGUCGGAGGGGCCUCGAGCCCUGACGGCGUACCUUUUGUAUAAUGGGUCAACGACUUGGUCUUACGAGCAAGCUUAAGCCGAUAGGUGUAGGCGCAGCGAAAGCGAGUCUUAAAAGGGCGCAUGAGUUCGUGGGAUCAGACCCGAAACCAGGUGAUCUAGCCAUGAGCAGGAUGAAGGCACGGUAACACGUGCUGGAGGUCCGAACCGACACCCGUUGAAAAGGGUCCGGAUGACUUGUGGCUAGGGGUGAAAGGCUAAUCAAACCUGGAGAUAGCUGGUUCUCCGCGAAAGCUAUUUAGGUAGCGCCUCGCACGAAUACCCACGGGGGUAGAGCACUGCAUGGGUGAUGGGGGCCCACAGCCUUACUGAGCCUAAGCAAACUCCGAAUACCGUGGAGUACUAUGCGGGAGACACACACCGGGUGCUAACGUCCGGUGUGAAGAGGGAAACAACCCUGACCUGCAGCUAAGGCCCCAAAUUCAUGGCUAAGUGGAAAAGCAUGUGGGACGGCCAAAACAACCAGGAUGUUGGCUUAGAAGCAGCCAUCAUUUAAAGAUAGCGUAACAGCUCACUGGUCUAGAUAAGCUGUCCUGCGGCGAAAAUGUAACGGGUCUCAAGCCAUGAGCCGAAGCUCGGGAUGUGCAGCAAUGCACGUGGUAGCGGAGCGUUCUGUGAUAUAGCUUCAUGUGUCUUAAUCCCUGGCAACAGGGACGUGGACACAAGAAGCUUACUGUGAAGCCGGGCUGUAAGGCAUCCGGUGGAGUGAUCAGAAGCGAGAAUGUUGACAUAAGUAGCGACAAAGGGAGUGAGAGACUCCCUCGCCGAAAGUCCAAGGGUUCCUGCUUAAAGCUAAUCUGAGCAGGGUAAGCCGGCCCCUAAGGCGAGGCCGAAAGGCGUAGUCGAUGGGAACCACGUUAAUAUUCGUGGGCCAGUGGGAAGUGACGGAUCCUUAACGUUGUAUGCCCUUAUCGGAUUGGGUGUGCAGCCGCGGGGUCCCAGGAAAUAGCCCCACAUCAGACCGUACCCUAAACCGACACAGGUGGACUGGUAGAGUAUACCAAGGCGCUUGAGAGAACCACAUCAAAGGAACUCGGCAAAUUACCUCCGUAAGUUCGCGAUAAGGAGGCCCCAUAUCUGGGCAACCAGGUGUGGGGGGCACAAACUAGGGGGUGGCGACUGUUUACUUAAAACACAGGGCUGUGCGAAGCCGUAAGGCGACGUAUACAGUCUGACGCCUGCCCGGUGCUGGAAGAUUAAGAGGAGGGGUGCAAGCUCCGAAUUGAAGUCCCAGUAAACGGCGGCCGUAACUAUAACGGUCCUAAGGUAGCGAAAUUCCUUGUCGGGUAAGUUCCGACCUGCACGAAUGGCGUAACGAUCUCCCCGCUGUCUCUGAUGUGGACUCAGCGAAAUUGAACUGUCUGUCAAGAUGCAGACUUCCCGCGGUUAGACGGAAAGACCCCAUGAACCUUUACUCUAGCUUUGCACUGGCACCAGGAUUGGGAUGUGCAGGAUAGGUGGUAGGCAUUGAAGCGGGGACGCUAGUCUUCGUGGAGCCAUCCUUGAGAUACCACCCUUCUCAAUCUUGGUGUCUAAACCGC
rnacentral:rRNA from 1 species